GACGAACGCUGGCGGCGUGCUUAACACAUGCAAGUCGAGCGGUAAGGCCCUUUCGGGGGUACGACGAGCGGCGAACGGGUGAGUAACACGUGGGUGACCUGCCCUCCAGCUCUGGGAUAAGCCUGGGAAACCGGGUCUAAUACCGGAUAUGACUCCAUGACGCAUGUUGUGGGGUGAAAAGCCUUGUGCGGCUGAGGAUGGGCCCGCGGCCUAUCAGCUUGUUGGUGGGGUGAUGGCCUACCAAGGCGACGACGGGUAGCCGGCCUGAGAGGGCGACCGGCCACACUGGGACUGAGACACGGCCCAGACUCCUACGGGAGGCAGCAGUGGGGAAUCUUGCGCAAUGGGCGAAAGCCUGACGCAGCGACGCCGCGUGAGGGAUGACGGCCUCGGU
rnacentral:rRNA from 1 species